rnacentral:rRNA from 1 species
AGCCUUUAGCACUACUAAUAUUAAAGGUGAUGCCUGCCCAGUGAUUCAUUAAACGGCCGCGGGAUCCUCCACCGUGCAAAGGUAGCAUAAUCACUUGUCCCCUAAAUAGAGACUAGUAUGAACGGCCACAUGAGGAUUUUCCUGUCUCUUGUAGCCCAUCAAUGAAACUGAUCUUUCAGUACAAAAGCUGAAAUAAUACCACAAGACGAAAAGACCCUGUGGAACUUAAACCGGAAAUCACCCAUUAUGAUUUCACCCGCUUUUAGUUGGGGCAACUAUGGAACAAAACAAAACUUCCACAAUCAACCCCAGGUAGACACACCCACUUCACCUUCCUCCUGACCCAGCACAGAAUGCUGAUUAAAGAACCAAGCUACCCCAGGGAUAACAGCGCCAUCCCCUCUUAGAGCCCCCAUCGACGAGGGGGUUUACGACCUCGAUGUUGGAUCAGGGCCCCCAAACAGUGCAGCAGCUGUUUAUGGNUUGUUUGUUCAACAAUUAAUGG